rnacentral:rRNA from 1 species
UACGUAGGGUCCGAGCGUUUGUCCGGAAUUAUUGGGCGUAAAGGGCUCGUAGGCGGUUCGUCACGUCGGGAGUGAAAACUCGGGGCUUAACCCCGAGCCUGCUUCCGAUACGGGCAGACUAGAGGUAGGCAGGGGAGAGCGGAACUCCUGGUGUAGCGGUGGAAUGCGCAGAUAUCAGGAGGAACACCGGUGGCGAAGGCGGCACUCUGGGCCGGUACUGACGCUGAGGAGCGAAAGCGUGGGGAGCGAACAGG